rnacentral:rRNA from 1 species
AUUUACUUAAUUUAUUAUUUUGUAUAUCGUUGUUAUAAAAAUAUUUUUUAAUAAUAAUUAAUAUUUAAAAAUUAACAUAUAAAUUUAAAUCAGAUCAAGAUGCAGAUUAUAAUUAAGAAUAUAAUGGAUUACAAUAAAUUUAUUUAAAUGAAUAUUAAUUUGUAAUAAUUAAUUAAAAGUGGAUUUAAAUGUAAUUUUAUUUAAUUUAAUAAAAUGAUUAAAAAUUAAGAUAUGU